GUGAGGAAUAUUGCGCAAUGGAGGCAACUCUGACGCAGCCAUGCCGCGUGCAGGAAGAAGGCGCUACGCGUUGUAAACUGCUUUUAACCGGGAAGAAACCCCAGGACGUGUCCUGGGUUGACGGUACCGGAGGAAUAAGCACCGGCUAACUUCGUGCCAGCAGCCGCGGUAAUACGAAGGGUGCAAGCGUUCUCCGGAUUCAUUGGGUUUAAAGGGUGCGUAGGCGGACCGUUAAGUCAGUGGUGAAAUCCUGCAGCUUAACUGUAGACUUGCCAUUGAUACUGGCGCUCUUGAGUGCGCUUGAAGUGGGCGGAAUGUGCCGUGUAGCGGUGAAAUGCUUAGAUAUGGCACAGAACACCAAUUGCGAAGGCAGCUCACUAAGGCGAUAAUGACGCUGAGGCACGAAAGCGUGGGGAUCGAACAGGAUUAGAAACCCUUGUAGUCC
rnacentral:rRNA from 1 species